rnacentral:rRNA from 7 species
UGGGGACUAGAUCCCCUUGAAGGGUCGUUCGAGACCAGGACGUUGAUAGGUCAGGUGUGUAAGCGCAGUAAUGCGUUCAGCUAACUGAUACUAAUUGCCCGUAAGGCUUGAUCCU